rnacentral:rRNA from 1 species
AGUCGUAACAAGGUCUCCGUUGGUGAACCAGCGGAGGGAUCAUUACCGAGUUUACAACUCCCAAACCCAAUGUGAACGUUACCAAACUGUUGCCUCGGCGGGAUCUCUGCCCCGGGUGCGUCGCAGCCCCGGACCAAGGCGCCCGCCGGAGGACCAACCAAAACUCUUUUUGUAUACCCCCUCGCGGGUUUUUUAUAAUCUGAGCCUUCUCGGCGCCUCUCGUAGGCGUUUCGAAAAUGAAUCAAAACUUUCAACAACGGAUCUCUUGGUUCUGGCAUCGAUGAAGAACGCAGCGAAAUGCGAUAAGUAAUGUGAAUUGCAGAAUUCAGUGAAUCAUCGAAUCUUUGAACGCACAUUGCGCCCGCCAGUAUUCUGGCGGGCAUGCCUGUCCGAGCGUCAUUUCAACCCUCGAACCCCUCCGGGGGGUCGGCGUUGGGGAUCGGCCCUGCCUCUUGGCGGUGGCCGUCUCCGAAAUACAGUGGCGGUCUCGCCGCAGCCUCUCCUGCGCAGUAGUUUGCACACUCGCAUCGGGAGCGCGGCGCGUCCACAGCCGUUAAACACCCAACUUCUGAAAUGUUGACCUCGGAUCAGGUAGGAAUACCCGCUGAACUUAAGCAUAUC